rnacentral:lncRNA from 1 species
GCCUGGGGAUGGAUGUUCUGCCUAUCGACACUGUCGUAUGUGUUUGCAGGUUGUUACGAGAGCCCGUCUUUAACAUUCUCAUCACAAAGAUAGAUGGUGACACACGUGGGCCUCACUGCGGUGACCAUUUCCCGGUUAUAUACAAACAUUGAACCGUGUGUUGCUCACCUGAAAGUCAUCUAAUGUUAUAUGUCCGUUCUCCCUCAAUAAAACAGAGACACAACCGUGGGGAGGGCUGUAUGGCUGCCUCUUGUGCUCAGGAGAAGCCCGCCUCUGCACACGAGCUGUGGGUUGGGUACCAGAUGGUCCAGAAGCCCGGAGCCCAGGGGACGAGGGGGAGGCCACCAGCUCUGGCAUUCUCCCAUCUGUAAAGGAAAGAAGCCUCCUGACCUCCUUCCUGGAGUUUCGAACAUGCAAAGAAAGGAUGAAGGAGGGAGAGAACCUGAGUAGGGAAGAGGGGAGGUUUGGUCAUAAAAAACCACGAAGUCCCGGAGAUCCGUUUCUCAGCAGUGUGAAUACGCUUAACAUUCCUGAACCGUUCACUUGAAAAUAGUCCAGAUGGUAAAUUUUAUGUUGUGUGUUUUUACCACAAUUUUUUUUUUAAAAAAACCCUAUAUUGGAACUCUGAGGUUCUCAUUAUUAGCAAGUAAUUGACAGAGACCUUUCUGAUGUAGCCUCAGGAGUAAGGGCUCUGCUGACACAUGCCAUCCCAUGUGUGAGUCAUAGUCAAAUUAUUUCUCCAAAGUAUAUUCUAGAAUGUGAUGCUAUCUUGGGCCCAUAGUCAGAAACUGGGGCAUAGAUUAUCAGCACCAAUUUCGCACAUUAUGUGGGUGCCUUAGUUAUUACAUGAGUGAAUUCUAGGUCUCGGGAAUUUUGUUCAGUUCCAUCAUUCUCCCGUGUUCUCACUGAAGAGAUAAAAGGGAAGGUGAGAAAAAAAAUGGAGAUGUUUCAUGUCUUUGCGUGUCUAAUAACGUCUCCAGAUUUACAAGAGAUCAGUGGCAAAGCUGAUUUGGAUCUAGCUUUCUUGCUUUUUCACAUCUUAUCUUUUUCUUUGUGCAUAAAGACCUGUUUAAACAACUGCGUGAGCACGUGGGUUAGGAAUGGAAAACAGCAGCAACACAUGACAGAGAACCAGGGGCACCGGAGCUGGACCCUGGGGUUGGCUUUCCUGUUGUGACACAAGCCUAGAGGCGGGAGGUGCUGACCUGGCAGCUCAGCGGAGUCUGGCCCGCAUCUCUACCCCCUCCUGGCUCCCAGAUGGCUGCUGCAGCCCCAGAUAUCACGUCUGAGACCAAGGCAAGAUGUAGGGGUGGUGGACAGAGCCCCCGGGAGACUUUGCUCACAGCCAUUUGGCCAGAACUGUGUCUGUGACCACUCUCUGUUAUAAGACUGCCUGGGGAAAAGAGGGGGAUUGAAUUUCUCCAGUCUCAGGGGGAAGGUGGGCAGAGGUGAUACCCUGGGGUGGGCUCCCCCCUCAGCCAGUGACUGCCUCCCACCUGCCAGUGAGAGGAGUGUCAGGUGGCCAGGUGUGGGGUGGGAAGACCAGGCCUGUGUACUUGUGAGCGCAAGAGGACACGGUGGCUUGCUGGUGACAAAGUGUGUAGUGUCUAUGGGAGGAUGGCAGGCAGGUGGGUAUAAGAAGGUGGCGAAACCGUGGGCUUGAGCCGGGCGGCCAGGAGGAGGACACAGACUGAGGCUGAGCGGGGACGCUCAGCCUAAGUGACCACACGCCUCUCCUGGGGGCUGCUCAGUGCAGGCUUUGGUGCAUCAGAUCAGAGCAGGAGGCCCCGCCUCCCUGGACACUAGCUGCUGCUGUUUCUCCCUCUGUGUAGCCCAGGUCCAGGUGGUUCUCAAUGUCACUGCACAGGAGGUUCCCUGGGGGGCGUUGAAAAUGGGUUUACACAGAGAUAACAUGAAGAAUACUAAUGGAGUUUCAAUAUUAUUAAAGGAGCAGCUGAAUCAGUUUUGCUUUUUGAAACAUCUGUUAUAGCCACGUUCACCAAACUCUAAUGCACGCAGAACACCUGGGGAUUUGCAGCGGUGCGGAUCCGGGCUCAGCAGGUCUGGGUGGGAGCCUGAGAUCUGCAUUUCUAACAGGUGACUGGUGGUGACGAUGCCAAGGGUGCCAUGUCACAUGUUGAGCAGCCAGGUCGUAAAGAGCUAAGGUGAUGAUAGAGGCGCAGGAAAAAGGGGGAUGGCACCCCUGGUCCCCGGAGCCCAGGGCAGAGCCCAGCUGCUGAGCAGGAGAUGCGCAUGUGGGCCUGGACGUAAUUUAGAAUGGGCUCAUUCACCUGUGUAAACAUGCACAGCCUGCAUUUGCUUAAAUGCAUAUGCAUAUGCCUAAAGUUUGUCUCAUAUAAUUUUUUUUUUUUUGUCUUUUUAGGGCCGCAGCCAUGGUCUAUGCAGGUUCCCAGGCUAGGGGUCUAAUCAGAGCUGUGGCCUCCAGCCCACACCAUAGCCACAGCAACGCCAGAUCCACGGCGUGUCUAGGAUCUACACCAUAGCUCCUUGCAACACUGGACACUGCACAAGGCCAGGGAUCAAACCUGCAACCCCAUGGCUCCUAGUUGGAUUUGCUUCCACUGUGCCACCAUAGGAACUCCUUAUGUAAUAUUUUUUUAAAAAACAAAUUCAUAGUGUCCCUUUUAUUUAAAUAUGUAGAGGCAAAAAAACAAGUGCUAGAGUAGGCGACCGCUAUGCCUCUGGGUGUUUAGGGUGAGUGUUGCAAGGAGCUGUGUGUGGCCCAGGCUCUGAGGGCCGUCACGCUGUCCUGUGGUGUCCUGUGCUGCGCUCUCCCCACUUUGAGUCUGAGACCAAUGCUAUUAUCGCAAAGAAAGUGAUGGUACAUCUUGCAAAGGGUCCAGCACACUUCUUGGUCUGCAGGGGAACUCAAUGAACACAUGAACACAGGCACACAUAUAUAAACACACACAGUGUGCGUAUAUGUACACGUGUGCCUGUGUGCACACGCAUAAACCCACACGUGCUACCAUCUCCUUCCUUCCUAUUAUCUUGCCCUGUGGGAGGUGCCGUAGUUUGUUUGCAAACAUGGGCCACAGGUUCCUCUCAUCUCCCCACAACCGCCCUUUGCAUGGUGACACCCACCCCUCCUGUCAAGAGGACGAAUCCAUUUCUCUGCCCUUGGAUGUGGCCUGGCCACCUGCCUGCCUUUGACCAACACAGUGAAGGCAAGGGAUGUGCUAGUUCUGAGAAGCCCAGGAUCCUUCUGGACCUUGCCCAGCAGCUGGUGAAGGAGCACAGGCGAGCACGUGGUGGCUGUCCACCAGCUGCCCAUGAGGCUGUCCUGGGCUCUUCAGCCCCAGUGGAGCCCCAGUGACUGUGGCCUCAUAAGUAAUCCAGGAGAGACCAGCCAAGAACCCAGUAGCCCAGCUAAGCCCACCUGCUGACCCAGAGGAUUGUGAGCACACAAAAUAGUUGCUGUUUUAAGCUGUUAACUUUUGGGAUGUCUGUUACGCAGCAAGUGAUAACUGAUACACGUGGCUAGAAAAAGCAGACUGGAGAUAUCCCUGAGUAAAAAUAUAUGUUUGUACUAAAUUCAGUACUGCAGCCCUUGAGCAAAUGCCCAAUGGACAUUCAGCAGGCCAUUGGCUCCCCUGCAGAGAGAAAGUGUAGGAGGUGACUUGUCCAGGCCCUUCAAGGGGACCGGACCGCAUGGGAGCUGCUGUGUUCUCAGGGAAGCAGGACCUGGCAUCCAGGCAGAUAGCUCCUUCCCACUUACUCAAAGUGCCUUGGGGAUUACCUUCCUGUGUUCAGGUCAGCUCCGCAUGUUCCUUUGUGACCUCAUUGUGGCUCCACUGCCUGGGUUUUUUUGGGACAGGUGGAUCAGACCAAGGAGCACUAGAGGAGCUGUGAUAAUCUUCCAGGCUCCAGACCAGCCUUGGGGCUCCAGGACCAGCUGGGGAGGGGCACACCAGGCAUGCUCUGUGCUGGGACACAUGGAUGUGUGUGCAGGGAGCCCACCCCGUGUGUGCGCUGGCUCUGCUUAUAGGGAUAGAUGCCACGCAGUGGGCCUUUGCUGAGAGCCUUGUAUUCUGGGCUCGGGUCCUUAUGGAUGUACGGGCUGAGUGGGACCAGCUGAGUGUUAUGCAGAACAGGCGUUAAAUAUAGAGGAAGACUCACCACCAGGAUUCCCAGGUAGAAGCACUGCUCCUGGAUGGGCUGGGGAUGCGCAGACCCCGCCGGCUCUGGGAUGCUGAUCCCAUGUAACAGGUGCAAAGCCUUUCUGUGUUAGUCACCGUCUCUCCUGCAGCGACUCAGCCCAAGUGGUCCUGGCAAGUCUGAGCUGCCUGUGGAGGCCAGGUCUCCUGUCCAUGCCCUGACCUAGAACUGGAUGUCCACCCUCUUAGAAGAUGGUACCGUGGGCAGACAAGGUCACGUUGCUGCCCUGUUCCAUCACACGUACACAUGCACGUGCGAGCAGACAUACACGCGCACAGGCACACACACACAUAUCAACAUAUACAGGUAUGUCCACUCGCAGAGACAAGUCACCGAUCAGAGUUAACUGCACUCUGAACAGUCAGCUCUGCUGCCAUGAAUGUCACUUCCAGAUGCAGUUGCUCCUGGGGGCCAGGGGGUCAUUGAGCAGAGAGCAGCCCUGGGGACACAGACACCCUCUCCCAGACUGUGUGAAGGAGAUCUAUCAGGUGUUUUUCUCCUCUCCAGGCAGCCAGUUUCUGAUGCGUCUGAGCCCCUGGCUUGUCCAGCGGGAUCUGAACUUGGCCCCUGGGUUUAGUCCAAGGCCCCUGUGCCCACAAAUAUGAGCAGAGGGUGGGAGUGCAGCCCAGAGCCUAGGAGCUCAUGUCAGGCGAGGUCAGGAUGAAUCUGGAGCCCAGGCUUCGUGUAAGUGGAUUCUUUUCCUUCUGCCCCUUUCAUGGCCAGCACCCUGGGCCUCUCGCAGGCACAUCCGCAGCCCGUGCAGAUCAUGCAUCCCCCGGGCAUCCUCCGCUUUCUUUCUUUCUUUCUUGGCCACCUUGUAGCACAUGGAGUUCCAAGGCCAGGGAUCAGAUCCAAGUCACAGCUGCAACCUACACCAUAGCUGUGACAACACCAGAUCCUCCUCUGCUUUAUUUCUGUUCCACUAGUCACCACUUGUCCCGUGGCUGCACGGAGAGGGACUCCCUGGCCAUCUGGCCACCUACAUGCCCCCAAGCAGCCCCGCUCUGCGGCACCUGCCCCUCUCCCACCAUCAACCAUCCAGAGACACCUCCAUCCUGUGGGGACCUCCCUCCGCCCCCAGAUCCUCUCAGCAAAGGGAAACCACACAUCUUGCCAAGUGGGAGAAAUUCCAGGUGUUGAUGCAGGCGAGGCUGGGUGUGGCUUCGAGUGGGAUGGAACCAAAGCUGAGAUGGUCCUGCCAGGCUUACCACUGAUACUGGGAGAAAAAACCUGCAGGUUUCCAGGAGGUGAGGUGCUUGGUCACACAAGGCUCUAGAAGCACCAAGGUGUCUUCACAAAAGUUAGGGAAAUGCUCAAUACUUUGCAAAAGUCAUUCGCUUUCCUGUUGCUGUAAAGUCAGUUUUGUUGGAAGAAUUAAUUACACCAGCAAACCUGACCACACUUGAUCAUCUUAGCUCCGAGAGUCACACACUCAUAAUUCUCUGUAAAUCUCGUUCAAGGUUAAAUGCACUCACUUCCUAUUUCGGGUUCCUCUGGGGCAUGAAGCCCACAUGGGCAUGUGCUACUGUGGAGGUUGGUUCCUGGCUUAAGUGGUUCUUUUGACUGGAUUUUCCCCCAAAUCAAAUGUCCCCUAGAAACAGUAAUCUCUUAUGUUAAAAUAUGUUCCUAUUUGGGGUUAUAGAUGCAAACUAUUAUACAUAGGAUGAAUAAACAAUAAGAUCCUACUGUAUAGCACAGGAAACCAUAUCUGAUCUCCUAGAUAGACCAUGAUGGAAAAUAAUAUUAGCAAAAAAAGUCAAAAAAGUAAUAAAUGCCAACUUUGUUUUUUUUUAAAUAAAAUAAGUUCCCGGGAGUUCCCGUCAUUGCACAGCAGAAAUGAAUCCAACUAGGAAUCAUGAGGUUGCGGGUUUGGUCCCUAGCCUUGCUCAGUGUGUUAAGCAUCCAGCGUUGCCAUGAGCUGUGGUGUAAGGUCUCAGAUGCGACUUGGAUCUGCCGUUGCUAUGCCUCUGGUGUAGGCUGGCAGUACAGCUCCGAUGAGACCCCUAGCCCGGGAACCUCCACAUGCGGCAGGUGCGGCCCUAAAAAGGCAAAAGACAAAAAUAAAUAAAAUAGAAUA